rnacentral:rRNA from 1 species
AACGAACGCUGGCGGCAUGCCUAACACAUGCAAGUCGAACGAGACCUUCGGGUCUAGUGGCGCACGGGUGCGUAACGCGUGGGAACCUGCCCUUAGGUUCGGAAUAACUCUCCGAAAGGGGUGAUAAUACCGGAUAAUGUCUUCGGACCAAAGAUUUGUCGCCUUUGGAUGGGCACGCGUUGGAUUAGCUAGUUGGUAGGGUAAAAGCCUACCAAGGCGACGAUCCAUAGCUGGUCUGAGAGGAUGAUCAGCCACACUGGGACUGAGACACGGCCCAGACUCCUACGGGAGGCAGCAGUGGGGAAUAUUGGACAAUGGGCUAAAGCCUGAUCCAGCAAUGCCGCGUGAGUGAUGAAGGCCUUAGGGUUGUAAAGCUCUUUUACCCGGGAUGAUAAUGACAGUACCGGGAGAAUAAGCUCCGGCUAACUCCGUG